rnacentral:rRNA from 1 species
GAACUAUUACAAUUUUCUUUCUUCUACGGGAGCCGUCGUCGUCUCGGGCUCUCCAGCCUCGGUUCUUUCCUCGUCUCGGCGCGGGACACCCGCGCGACCGACUGCCGGAGCACCUCCUCCGCCGCGCCCCGCGCUGUCGCCUGCCUCCCUACGUCGGCAGAAGGAGCGCGGCCCCCCUCGACGACAAGCCCCUAGAGACCCUUUAGUUGCUCGCGCGGUGGACUUCUAGAGGUACCGGUCGCGGCGCCUCGAGCCCCAUGGACGCGGACGGGGGACUACCUUACCGGCACCGGCGUGCGGCUCUGCGCCUACGGCGCCCGGCUGGGCAUGCGGCCAGCCUGGUCGCGCCACCGUAGCGGACGGGGCGAGCCGACCAUGUGCCGGUUCCCGAACGGGGGACACUUAAGCUCAAGCUCAAGUAAAGGUCGAGUCGGCCGCCGUCGACCAUUAGGCUCAGGCCGUUCUUGGUCCUCGAGAGGCUACUUAUUUUCGCGAACGCCACCCCCGUCGACGAGGUUGAGCUAAGCAAGCGGAGGGAGGGGUUAGGGGUCUAGGUUAGGUUCUGUGCGGUAGGUACCGCCGCUUCCACGAGGUCGAGGCAUCGAGGCUGCCGUUCCACGAGCAGCGAGGCCGCACCCUGAUAGCGGGCCGGCGGCGGGUUCGGGAGGGCGACCUCUACGCCCACGGGAGCGCGCGGGAGGUCUCCCACGAGGUCAUGACCUGGUUCGUGUCGGAACGGUUCCGGUGGCCACUCAGGGCCCUCAGGGAGCGGGCGACCCUGCGGCUGAAGGUCGCGGCAGAGGUCCUUCUGCCGGAGCGGUUCCUCCGGCGGCGUCGGCGGGUUCUUGAGGCGGCGAUGCCGCAGGUAGUACCUCCCGCAGGGGCAGCGGUACGGCGGUGCCCGCGUAGACUACACCGACGAGGACGGUUCCGCCGUGCACGACUAGGGCAGGCACAGACCACACAGUUGGUGCCUCUUGCGUCGGUACGCGGCCGCUACGGGCCGAGGAAGCUACGGUGACUAUAACGGAGGCGGCGCGCGGGACCCGGACGGUGGUGGAACGGCCGACGACGACCACGACUGGGGCACCUACGGGUAACGCGCUAGGCACGGGCACCUGCGGUCUACCGACUUCUGCUCCUCGAGCGAACGGUGGUGGCGUUCGCGGGCCGAAGGUUCCGAGGUUAGACGGACGGACGGUGGCGACGACGCGGACACUUCUUCCAGAGAGCAGUCCAGCGAAGGUUCCGAACGAGAAAGCAGCCAAGAUGUGGUGACGAACGGUGACGACGACGCGGGUCACACGUUGGCUUCGGCGGCUAGUCGUACGCGGUUGACUAGCUCUUCCGAGCGGAGUGGUACCGAGAGGAGCUGUUCCGAGCGAGACGGAGGUUUCUUCUCCGGUCGGCAGCCGCGCUGUAGCUCGCGUCGGCUCGCCUCCGGGCCGCUUUCCACCUCGUCUACCGCCUGUGGCACGUCAAGUUGCUGGGGACCUAGGUAAUGAGGCUGCACUGGUUCAGGGGACUCCUCGACGAGGUUCGUGCUGUCGUUCGUACCGCAAUAGUUCGAGUGGAGGAGCUCUACCGAGCAGCUGCCCUGAAACGAGUUCGCUACGUUUAGGUGCCCACUACCUUCGUCUCGUUCUUUAGUAGUCGUCACGUUCGAAGAACCACCAUCAGAAUGUAGUCUCCUCUUCUCAGCCGUCACUCUUUUCGUCUCGUUCCUUCGUUGGUUAAGGAACCGACGCAGGUCACCAUAAUGCGGAAGGGAUCAGAAAAUCAACGAAGGAUUUGGUACGUGUGUACUCAAAGUAAAUUGGAAACGUAGAGAUCCAAGACGUGAAUUAGUGGUUCUAAAGAUCACAAGAAACUUAGGGAAAGUCAGUAAUGACUAAAAUGUUCCCACAGUCGUCUCAGAGGUAGAUCGAUCCGUCGUUUUUAGUACGAUUCUACACAUGCCGUAUCAAUGUGAUGUAGGUGUGGACCAGGAUUCAAUUCCCAAAUUCAUUUAUUUCCCGUAAAAGUUAUUUAGUUUCACUUCGUCUACUCGGUUUUUUUAACCUUUGAGUACAUGACGUUAAGGCCGGGCUCUGUCUCGCAUUUUGCGUGAGCGGCGUUUUAGGUUUUGCGGGCAAACGAUGGGCCGAACAUCGUCCUUUUUUCCUCAUCUUAACUUGAACAGCUAUGUGUGCAUUAGAACACUCGACGGAUCGCAAACCUCUGACACGACUGAGAGAACAUUUGAAUUAGAACCGACUUAACCUAAGAAUCCGUAACCCACAGAACCACUCAAUUUCAACGUCAAAGGCUGUUCAUUGUAACCAAUCACUUGAGAACACACACACGUCCACUUCGAAACACGAUUCGUUCAGGAGUUACAUGGCUGAUAGUUCAGUAUAACAUUAGUUAUAGUCUAUAAUUACUUUUAAACAACCGGACUUAAACACG